UACGUAGGGGGCAAGCGUUGUCCGGAAUCAUUGGGCGUAAAGAGCGUGUAGGCGGCCCGAUAAGUCCGCUGUGAAAGUCCAGGGCUCAACCCUGGAAUGCCGGUGGAUACUGUCGGGCUCGAAUCCGGAAGAGGUGAGUGGAAUUCCUGGUGUAGCGGUGAAAUGCGCAGAUAUCUGGAGGAACACCGGUGGCGAAGGCGGCAUCCUGGACCGACACUGACGCUGAGGAGCGAAAGCCAGGGGAGCAAACGGG
rnacentral:rRNA from 1 species